UACUCGAGUGGCGAACGGGUGAGUAACACGUGGGUGAUCUGCCCUGCACUUCGGGAUAAGCCUGGGAAACUGGGUCUAAUACCGGAUAGGACCACAUUUUGGAUGGUGUGGUGGAAAGUUUUUCGGUGUGGGAUGAGCUCGCGGCCUAUCAGCUUGUUGGUGGGGUAAUGGCCUACCAAGGCGUCGACUGGUAGCCGGCCUGAGAGGGUGUACGGCCACAUUGGGACUGAGAUACGGCCCAG
rnacentral:rRNA from 1 species